UGNGUAGCUUAGCCACCGACUUUANAGAACAAACUGAGGUGGCGGAACGGGUAGAGAUAAGCAGCAGUGGGUAACCUAGCCCCAAGAGCGGGGAGAUAACAUUGUGGAAANGAGAUGCUAAUACCNGCAUAACCACAGAAACCACAUGGUUUCUGUGUCAAAANGAUGGUUUCGGCUAUCACUUUGGGAUGGACCCUGCUGUGCGUAUUAGCUACGUNUGGUAAUGGUAAUGGCUUACCAAUGGCACAUGAUACUGUAGCCGAACUGAAGAGGUUGAUCUGNGCCACAUUGGGACUGAGACACGGCCCAAACUCCUACGGGAGGCAGCAGUAGGGAAUCUUCCACAAUGGACGAAAGUCUGAUGGAGCAACGCCGCGUGAGCUGAAGAAGGUUUUCGGAUCGUAAAACUCUGUUGUCAGAGAAGAACGUGUGCGAGAGUAACUGCUCGUGCAAGAUGACGGUAUCUUGGCCAGAACAGCCACGGACUAACAUACGUAGUCAGCAGCCGCAGNGUAAAUACGUACGAGUGGCAAGCGUANGA
rnacentral:rRNA from 1 species